rnacentral:lncRNA from 1 species
UGACUAAGAAACAGAGUAGUAAAUCAGUGGAAUAGAUUAGGUACACAAUACAUAGUAGCAAAUCACAAUUAUUUAGUGUUUGAUAAACCCAAAGAUUCAAGCUUUUGGGACAAGAAAUCACUAUUUGACAAAAACUGCUGGGAAAACUGGAAAAAGGUAGGUCAGAGACUGGGUAUAGACCAAUAUCUCACACCCUACACCAAGAUAAAGUUAAAAUGGAUAUAUGAUUUAGACAAAAAUCUAAAUGGAGCUACCAUUUCACUUUAUCUCUUUUCUUUUUAGUGUGUGUUCAAGUUCUCUUUCACAAAAUGGCUAAUAUGAAAAUAUGCUUUACACUAUUAGACAUAUCAUCUAUGUCAGAUUGCUUACUAUUUCAAGGAGGAGUGAGGGAAGGUCUACCAACUUUGGUACUUUGGAUUUUAUAAAGCACUUCCCUUAUAAUAAUGAGAUAGGUAAUACAGAUAUUAUUAAUCUCCAUUUUAUAGUUGAAUAA